CGCGGCGUAGCUCAGUCGGUAGAGCUUGCGUGUCGCUGGUUCAAGUCCGGGCCGCCGCAA
rnacentral:tRNA from 1 species